rnacentral:rRNA from 1 species
AACACAUGCAAGUCGAGCGGCAGCACGGGUACUUGUACCUGGUGGCGAGCGGCGGACGGGUGAGUAAUGCCUAGGAAUCUGCCUGGUAGUGGGGGAUAACGUCCGGAAACGGGCGCUAAUACCGCAUACGUCCUACGGGAGAAAGUGGGGGAUCUUCGGACCUCACGCUAUCAGAUGAGCCUAGGUCGGAUUAGCUAGUUGGUGAGGUAAUGGCUCACCAA